CAGAGGUCGGCGCUCUAUCCGUGGAAGGCGGGCAUCUCUAUGUUUUGCCGAGGAGCAGUGAAAACACCACAAGGACUGGCAUUAGUUCUUGAAGCAACACUCGAGAACCAUCUUUUUUUUUCCCCUUGAACCUCAGUUUGGCCAUCUGUAACAGUUAUCCUGAAUCUGGCAUUCAGCGUUACUGCUGACCACAGAUUUUUGAAGAGGAUUUGAUGGAAUGGUGGUUAUGUGUGUGCCCCCAGAGUCCCACCACCAUGGUCAGUGAGCGGAGAGGAGGGGGAUGUUCCAGUCUGUGUGUGGGGAUGGCAACCAGCAGGUCCUGGGCUGGCAGAGGCAGAGAUGAGCGACAGCAGGAUGCAUAUUCCAUUUUUCCUCAAGAAUCAACUGCCUAAACCCCCACCAUCCAGAGGAGACUAAGGACAAGAGGCCAUGUCACUUGCCAAGGUCACGAGUGGUAAGCGGUGGAGCAGGAAUUGAAUUCUGAAGUCCUUGCUUCUGGCCGCUCUGCUAGGCUGCGUGUUUGGUGGAAAUGGUGCUACCAUGCCCUUUCCCGCUGUGCUGAGCAGGAGACCAGUGGGGAGCAGAGCCCGAGGCACUUGGUCCAAGCACUUGUGUGGGAAAGGAUGCCAGGAGUGGAGACUGGGCACCAUAAAGGCAAAGUCUGCAGAAAACACCUCCAGCUGAUCCUCUCUUUCUUUCACUCUGCACAUGGCAGAGAGAUUUCUUGUGUGUGACAGGGUAUAUGCUGAUUUCAACCCACACAUCUUUCCAAACCACUCAGCAGCUGCCUUUUGCUUGUUUUAUCCCCUAUCUAGAAUCUUUCCAGUGGAAAGGUUUUUAAAGUGUCAUCUCCCCUCACUGAAGAUGAAGUCUGUGAUUUAAACUCACAACUUUUUCUCUGGAUGACUCCGAAAGCUGUUCAGUUGUCCCUUUGGGUAGACCAGUUUGACUUUAGAAGUUCUCCUUGGCCUUGUAUCUUCCCUCCCUUCUUGUAAACAGCUUUCCAAUCACAACUGAGUUCCCCACCGUGGGCUCACCAAAGACAAGAAAUACAGGCCAGCACAGCAGAAAGCCAGACAGAGCUGUGCAACCUGACACUCCAGUAGUAGGAAGCUGGCUAGAGAGCCCAAGAUAAGAGGCAGCCUCCACGUAGACAUCAAUCACUCUUGAAAUUGAACACUUUCUGUGUCUUGUGGCUUGAUCUAAACUGGUUUGCAUUGUAAUUUCUUGGGUACCCAUCUCCCCCACUGGGUCUAAGCUCUUUCAGGGCAGGGAUUAUACUGAAUGUUUUUCUCCUACAAAACAAGUUCUUCAUAGUAAGCAUUCAACCAACUUGACAUCAGGGGGACCCCAGGUUCCUGAAAAGUUGACAAUGGGCUUCCAUAUCACUGACUGGACUUCAGAGAAGGAAGACACCGCCAACCAGGAUGGUGAGGGGUUUCCAGGGCCCCUGGGGCAAGGGUUGAAUGGUCAUGCCUUUUUAUUUUAUUUUGUUGCUCCACUCUCUCCCACCUCCAGGCCUUUUGCACAUGACUGUAUGUGUCCUUUUGAGAGGCUGGAGUGAAGGUGGCUGCUCACGGGUUUUGCUCCACACUUGUGAUUCUGGCAGAGAAAUUCCAGAACCUUUGUUGCUCGUGCUGCCUCACCUCACCGCAUCCCAGUCUUCGGAGGGUCUGUUGUGCAUUUGCUCAAAAGUGCCCUUGAAUUCUCCCUCACUUUCGAUUUGGCUCGUGGCUGACUUAUUUGGAAUCCCAUGAAGCACCAUGUAAAGAUUGGUAGUCAGAGAUGACGAAUGCCAUAGCUUCCGUUUGCAGAUGCAGAAAUGCCCCCGAACUUCCCCACCAGUACUCCCCUUUCCAGCACCAGAUAGGCUGGUG
ensembl:lncRNA